UACAGAGGUCUCGAGCGUUGUUCGGAUUCAUUGGGCGUAAAGGGUGCGUAGGUGGCGCUGUAAGUCGGGUGUGAAAUCCUGGGGCUUAACCCCGGAACUGCAUUCGAUACUGCAGUGCUUGAGGACUGGAGAGGAGACUGGAAUUCACGGUGUAGCAGUGAAAUGCGUAGAUAUCGUGAGGAAGACCAGUGGCGAAGGCGGGUCUCUGGACAGUUCCUGACACUGAGGCACGAAGGCCAGGGGAGCAAACGGG
rnacentral:rRNA from 1 species